rnacentral:lncRNA from 1 species
AGAGAGGAUUCUUGUUUUUACGGGUACAUGCCUCACGGUACGCUUCACGAAUCACGAUCAUUUACAUAAGAAGAACUACAGGAUAGUGUACAAGGAUCUCCUAAGAGUAAACAUAAGAAGAACUUGUUAUUAAUGAGGCCACAACUUCUUAAAUCAGUUUUGAAAACCCUUUUUCAAAAAACUUCUUAAAUCAGUGUUCACAUGAACUCUUAUGUGUUUUUUUUUCUGAUUUAGACCUAAGAUAUAUCUGGCAUAUUGACACUAGUAACACUACAUUGGUGUUCCAAGAAGAUGUCAUUCUUCGAGUUAUAUUCAAAGACGCAUGCAUUUUCAGAAAAUCCUCACAUAUAAUUUUUUUUUUAAAAACCGUGGAAGUUAUGCGACCACCUAUGCUUAUAAUCUUCUUUACACUUUUGUUUUUGAGUUUGGAAUUUGCCUUAUAAAAGUUUGAUUUGAAGGUUUGAAAAUGAACUACAUGAGAACUAAUCAUCUUACCACUAUAUCAUUAUCAAUUUGUUUUAUAUAUAUUUAUAACAAAAUCAUAGGUUUAGUUAGAAUAGUUUAAUAAAAUAUAUUUAUCAUUCACAACUUGUUAGAAAAUGUUGCAUGCACAACUUGAUGCAUCUCUCGAUACCCACUCUAUAUUUUAUUUGAUAUUAUAUUUAAACAACAUGUUAUUAUGCGAUACCCACUCUUGAUGCGAUUCUAUAUCACUUUCUUUAAUUUUUUUUUUAAUUUCGAAUCGCACUACCUUGAUGUGGAAAUUGUUUAAACUGAUAAAUACCUGUAAAUGAUCAGGAUUAUAAUUUCCAAAACUUAUAAUUUAAAGCUAUCAUUUAUCGAUAUGCAAGUUCACGUAAUAAUCAAGGAUUCCUUAAAUAGUUAAAAUUGUUCGUCCGUGCUAUCUGUCUUUCUUUAAUAUAUGUUUUGUUUGUAUUUUGUGUGAUGCUUUUCGCUAACGGGUAAUCUUAACUUUCUAUUCAUAUUCUAAUUUUAGCUAAUGGUUUUAGAAUUUAAACAGUUUAAGAGCUCUUACUUUUCUUAAAAGCCUGUAUAGUUUUUUUUGGCGAAAUCAAAAUAUACAAAUUAUUCAAAGACUAGAGAACAAACUUGAUAUGAGUUCCAAAACAUUAGUUAAUCUUUCGGUCUAAUUAAGAACAUUAUCUUGGCACAAAGUAAUAUUAUUAUAAAUUUCUAAUAAACUAAUCUGUAGUAUACUUUGUUGAGAACAAAACUAAUUAAU